GCAGAGUCUGCCGGCGCGUCCGCAUCCUCUUCGACACCGAAGGAGACCGUACCGCGUCCGGGGUGUAUACUGAGCACUGCACCUUUAACGAUACCCCGAGAAACCAUUGCAGUGACUCGUCGAGCAAUCGUGCGCGCAUACUUGAUUUCUCCUCGCAAAAGUACUUCGCGAGAUUAACUUUGCGGACUUUCCGAAAUCGCGUAAGUUCUACAUCGUCCUCGUGAAUAUCGAGGUCUUGAUUUGCGACUCGGUAGAAGUUCAAAGGUUGUCAUUGAUUUAUUGCAAGUGCUUGUCAAUGAUUUCUGAGUGAAGGAAUGCAUGACUCCAACUUCAAAGAAACUCCACGCUAAGACCGCGUGGACACAAUCACGACUAUAGAAAAAGAAGGAAAAGAAAUUCACAAACUUUAAAGGCACAUUGGUCGCCGUGCACCAGCAUCUCUGAGGAGCGUUACGAUGUAUUUUUAAAGACUAUCAAUGAUUUACAUCAAAGCUGACAUAACUCGCGUUAGUAUCCGAUCUAUUGAAAUUCUAUCGAACGAUGAAUACAUCACGCGACGCGACAGAAUGUCGAGGCUGAAAGCGAGCCACGACUAAAUCAUUCGCGCGACAUGUAAUUUCACGUGACAAUUGGCGGAUACUCUCAUCAGUGUAUUAUACGUCGAAGGCAUGAAUCGCGCUACGUCGAUAAUCGUCAUUUGGCUGAUGGCACCUCGUUCAAGCGAUGCGGUCGAGGAUGCGACUGACUAUUAUCCACUCGCGGAGAACGACGGCGAUUUCGAGUAUGCGAACGCCACGAAUUGCACAAACGACUACUGCAUCCCGGACGAAGACUACAUCGGCUUGAUGAUGCAGCACAUAUUCCCGAAAUUCCCGGAUUGGGUGUUAAUUGCCAUGCACAGCGUCGUUUUUACAGUCGGCCUCUUUGGUAACGCGCUCGUCUGCAUGGCCGUUUAUCGAAAUCACUCAAUGAGGACCGUGACCAAUUAUUUCAUCGUCAACUUGGCGGUGGCCGAUCUGCUCGUUCUGUUAAUCUGCUUGCCGCCGUCGGUUCUCUGGGACGUCACGGAGACCUGGUUCCUCGGAUUAAAACUCUGCAAGGCUGUACCUUAUCUCCAGACGGUAUCGGUGAGUGUCAGCGUUUUAACGCUGACUUUCAUAUCGAUCGAUCGAUGGUAUGCCAUAUGCUUCCCAUUGAAGUUCAAGUCCACAACGGGUCGAGCGAAAACAGCCAUCAUAAUCAUCUGGCUGAUAGCACUACUUUUCGACAUUCCGGAGCUCCUGGUGUUGCACACGGUGCCAUCGAAUAGUCGAGUGCAAACUAUAUUAUUCACGCAAUGUGUCUGGUCGUGGAGUCAAGAGAGUCAGACCACCUUCACGAUCAUCAAGCUGAUCUUUUUGUACACCGGCCCGUUGCUCUUCAUGAGCGUGGCGUACUGGCAAAUUGUACGUGUCCUUUGGAGAAGCGAUAUUCCAGGACACAAUUUGUCUACUAGAAUCUGUCAUUCAACCGAAAUUCCAUUCUCCGGAGGUGGAAAUCCAGAAGGUCAAUUGAGAUCUCGACGGAAAGCAGCGAAGAUGUUAGUUGCUGUGGUGCUCACAUUUACAAUAUGCUUCUUUCCGGUGCAUUUACUCUCUAUUCUAAGAUGUAUUAUGGCGUUACCGUCGAAUCAAUGGACGAUUGCCGUUAGUCUAAUAGCCCACUGGCUUUGUUAUUUUAAUAGCGCGGUGAAUCCUGUCAUCUAUAAUUUCAUGAGCGGUAAGUUCCGGCGAGAGUUCCAUCGUAGCUUUCGAGAGUGCGGUUCGCCGAGCGAGCGGACGAUCAGGCAGAGGGCUGUCCACCGGCGGCGUUUGCUGUCGCGCGACGGCGACGGAUACACGGACAAGGGGUGCGCGAGCACGAACUUGCGAAACCGACCCUUUUGACACGCGGCGAAACGAGUACCGUGGAAUUCACCGGAAAUGCACCCAGAUGCGCCUGUAUGUACGAGCGUCGUAGCCGAGACGACGUUCGGAACGAGAACAGAUUCGAAUUACGGCACUUGUUAGAUCGAUCGCGCGCUCAGGGGAAAUUUCGUAAGGAGUUCAAGCACACCUUCCGGUGUUCUCACAGUGGCGGGAAUUACGUCCACAGACGUGGACAUGUUAUGGGCAUCUCGGAUCCGUUGAAACAACGCUCGCAAACUUGUACAAGAUCAAUG
rnacentral:misc_RNA from 1 species